CCUACGGGCGGCAGCAGUGGGGAAUAUUGCACAAUGGGCGCAAGCCUGAUGCAGCCAUGCCGCGUGUGUGAAGAAGGCCUUCGGGUUGUAAAGCACUUUCAGCGGGGAGGAAGGCGUUAAGGUUAAUAACCUUGGCGAUUGACGUUACCCGCAGAAGAAGCACCGGCUAACUCCGUGCCAGCAGCCGCGGUAAUACGGAGGGUGCAAGCGUUAAUCGGAAUUACUGGGCGUAAAGCGCACGCAGGCGGUCUGUCAAGUCGGAUGUGAAAUCCCCGGGCUCAACCUGGGAACUGCAUUCGAAACUGGCAGGCUAGAGUCUUGUAGAGGGGGGUAGAGUUCCAGGUGUAGCGGGGAAAUGCGGAGAGAUCUGGAGGAAUACCGGUGGCGAAGGCGGCCCCCUGGACAAAGACUGACGCUAAUGUGCGAAAGCGUGGGGAGCAAACAGGAUUAGAUACCCUAGGAGUC
rnacentral:rRNA from 1 species